rnacentral:rRNA from 1 species
UGGGGAAUAUUGGACAAUGGGCGAAAGCCUGAUCCAGCCAUGCCGCGUGUGUGAAGAAGGUCUUCGGAUUGUAAAGCACUUUAAGUUGGGAGGAAGGGCAGUAAGCGAAUACCUUGCUGUUUUGACGUUACCGACAGAAUAAGCACCGGCUAACUCUGUGCCAGCAGCCGCGGUAAUACAGAGGGUGCAAGCGUUAAUCGGAAUUACUGGGCGUAAAGCGCGCGUAGGUGGUUCGUUAAGUUGAAUGUGAAAGCCCCGGGGCCAGCCUGGGAACUGCAGCCAAAACUGGCGAGCUAGAGUAGGGCAGAGGGUGGUGGAAUUUCCUGUGUAGCGGUGAAAUGCGUAGAUAUAGGAAGGAACACCAGUGGCGAAGGCGACCACCUGGGCUCAUACUGACACUGAGGUGCGAAAGCGUGGGGAGCAAACAGG